rnacentral:rRNA from 1 species
UAGGGAAUCUUCGGCAAUGGGGGCAACCCUGACCGAGCAACGCCGCGUGAGUGAAGAAGGUUUUCGGAUCGUAAAGCUCUGUUGUAAGAGAAGAACGUGUGUGAGAGUGGAAAGUUCACACAGUGACGGUAACUUACCAGAAAGGGACGGCUAACUACGUGCCAGCAGCCGCGGUAAUACGUAGGUCCCGAGCGUUGUCCGGAUUUAUUGGGCGUAAAGCGAGCGCAGGCGGUUUAAUAAGUCUGAAGUUAAAGGCAGUGGCUUAACCAUUGUUCGCUUUGGAAACAGUUAAACUUGAGUGCAGAAGUGGAGAGUGGACUUCCAUGUGUAGCGGUGAAAUGCGUAGAUAUAUGGAGGAACACCGGUGGCGAAAGCGGCUCUCUGGUCUGUAACUGACGCUGAGGCUCGAAAGCGUGGGGAGCAAACAGG